UGAGGAAUAUUGGUCAAUGGUCGCAAGACUGAACCAGCCAUGCCGCGUGCAGGAAGACGGUCCUAUGGAUUGUAAACUGCUUUUGUACGGGAAGAAACACUCCUACGUGUAGGAGCUUGACGGUACCGUAAGAAUAAGGAUCGGCUAACUCCGUGC
rnacentral:rRNA from 1 species